rnacentral:rRNA from 1 species
AGAGUUUGAUCAUGGCUCAGAUUGAACGCUGGCGGCAGGCCUAACACAUGCAAGUCGAACGGUAACAGGAAGCAGCUUGCUGCUUUGCUGACGAGUGGCGGACGGGUGAGUAAUGUCUGGGAAACUGCCUGAUGGAGGGGGAUAACUACUGGAAACGGUAGCUAAUACCGCAUAACGUCGCAAGACCAAAGAGGGGGACCUUAGGGCCUCUUGCCAUCGGAUGUGCCCAGAUGGGAUUAGCUAGUAGGUGGGGUAACGGCUCACCUAGGCGACGAUCCCUAGCUGGUCUGAGAGGAUGACCAGCCACACUGGAACUGAGACACGGUCCAGACUCCUACGGGAGGCAGCAGUGGGGAAUAUUGCACAAUGGGCGCAAGCCUGAUGCAGCCAUGCCGCGUGUAUGAAGAAGGCCUUCGGGUUGUAAAGUACUUUCAGCGGGGAGGAAGGGAGUAAAGUUAAUACCUUUGCUCAUUGACGUUACCCGCAAAAGAAGCACCGGCUAACUCCGUGCCAGCAGCCGCGGGAAUACGGAGGGUGCAAGCGUUAAUCGGAAUUACUGGGCUUAAAGCGCACGCA